rnacentral:lncRNA from 1 species
AGGAGAUGCAUUAAACUGCAGGAUGAAGGAUUUAAUUUAGACAUAGAAAGAGUGGCCUGAUAAUAAGUGUUAUUAGAUGUUGGAGUCAGUGUUGGAGGCAGCUCUGUGCUUUGGAGGACUUGCACAUACAGGCCCUCGGGCCCAGCUGAGGACAUCUGAAGGAAAGCCAUGAGUUGGUAUCCAUGGCACAGCUAAGAAGGAAAGAUUUCAACGGAUGCAAUAUAUACCAGUGUUCACAGGUUAUGCAAGGAAGAAGCUGGUGAAGAGAUUUCUCCUGCUUGGACAGAUGGUAAAAGAGCUAGGAAUAGUGUGGGUGUUCAUGCCCUCCCAGUACAUUUGGCCUGCCUCUGUGUUCCCCUGCAACUGAGCUAGGUAUUGUCAAGGACCCACAUCUCUCUCCUCUGACUGAGUGCUUUCUUUUGCAUGGGGGAGCUUAGUCAGUACUCUUAAAGAACGUUCAAAACUCGACCGAUGACUAAUGAGGGUUGGUGGAUGAAUACCCGGGUUUCUCAUGGACUGAUGGGAUAAUUCUAGGUACUACAAACCUCUGAGAAGACGCUGGAAGAAUGGAAUCACAAUUCCAUAUGUGAUCGUAUAUUCACAAAUACCCCACCAGCCUUUGUGACUCUUCUGCUAAUCUCAUGUGCACUUCCUAGAAUCGAUUCCUAAACAAACCACCAGAACCCAAGCCCUUUGUUGCAGGGUCUACUUUGGAGGAAACCCAACCUAACACAACAGGCUUUGGAAUCAGAUAAAUCCUAAUUCUCCUUGAAUCAUUUAGUAGUUGCCUGGCCUUGAACAAGUAGCUUCUUUUUAGAGUUCAGUGUCCUUGUCUGCAGAAUGUGGGUGAUUGUAGCUCGACUUAUUUCAUAGGACUAUGUUGAAGAUUAAAGAAGAUGUAAACCACAGAGCACCUGGUGUUUGAUAGUUCAUAAAUAAAUGCUGGCCAUUCUGAUUGUGAUUUUUCUUUUUAUUUAUUUAUUUAUUUAGGCACAGGGUAACCCAGCAGUAUUUAUCCGUUGAGC